CUGUAUGUAACUCAGUUGGUUAGGAGCGCUGCACCAGAAUUGCGGGGCCGCAGGUUCGAUUCCUGUCAGGGAGC